rnacentral:piRNA from 2 species
UGCAAGAACACCUUAGGCCUAUAACUGGU